rnacentral:rRNA from 1 species
UGCCAGACUCCUACGGGAGGCAGCAGUGGGGAAUAUUGGGCAAUGGGCGAAAGCCUGACCCAGCAAUGCCGCGUGAAUGAAGAAGGUCUUAGGAUUGUAAAAUUCUGUCCUAUGGGAAGAAACAAAUGACGGUACCAUAGGAGGAAGCCCCGGCUAACUACGUGCCAGCAGCCGCGGUAAUACGUAGGGGGCGAGCGUUAUCCGGAUUCACUGGGUGUAAAGGGAGCGUAGACGGCCAUGCAAGCCAGGGGUGAAAGCCCGGGGCCCAACCCCGGGACUGCCCUUGGAACUGCAUGGCUGGAGUGCGGGAGGGGCAGGCGGAAUUCCUGGUGUAGCGGUGAAAUGCGUAGAUAUCAGGAGGAACACCGGCGGCGAAGGCGGCCUGCUGGACCGCGACUGACGUUGAGGCUCGAAAGCGUGGGGAGCGAACAGGAUUAGAUACCCCCGUAC